rnacentral:rRNA from 1 species
CAGUAGCCGCGGUAAUACGGAGGGUGCAAGCGUUAAUCGGAAUUACUGGGCGUAAAGCGUGCGUAGGCGGCUUCUUAAGUCGGAUGUGAAAUCCCUGAGCUUAACUUAGGAAUUGCAUUCGAUACUGGGAAGCUAGAGUAUAAGAGAGGAUGGUAGAAUUCCAGGUGUAGCGGUGAAAUGCGUAGAGAUCUGGAGGAAUACCGAUGGCGAAGGCAGCCAUCUGGCCUAAUACUGACGCUGAGGUACGAAAGCAUGGGGAGCAAACAGGAUUAGAUACCCCAGUAGUCCCUGUCUCUUAUAA